rnacentral:lncRNA from 1 species
ACUCUCCACUCCGAGGCUCAGGGAGCAAGUGCCUGGCAUGGGGGGUAAAAGUUGGCUUUUUUUUUACUCCUUGGUCUUUUGCGCCCUUCUCCCUCUCCCCAGAAGGGAAGACCCAUUUAAACUAUUUUAGACGCAAUCAACCAAGAAUCACCAUGUGGAAUUGAGCGGCAGUUUUAAAUGUGUUGAGCAGGGGAGAGGAAUGAUGAGAAAAACAUUUUUUUUUUUUUUUUUGGAGACGCCGAAAGAAGCCUGUUUGUGUGCUGCGGCCGUGCUGUGACUUUGGAUCUUGUCUUUCAGCCGGCGCCUCGGUUCCUGCCCAGCUGGAUUUGGGGGGCAGCAUUGCCUGGCGCAGGGAGAUCAAAUGAGACUGCAAAGAAGCAUAAAAUGAAUAGACAAUCCAACCAACCAAAGACCGGGGGCAGCAGCAGGCCAGCAAGACGGCAUCUUCUCCUUCCCAGCCUAGAAGCCCUGUGAAAUCGAGGAUCUUCCCCCUAAAACACAUACACACAAGAUAUGUGCAAUCAAGCUGCCACCGCUUGGUAAAAAGCCAUGGUGCCUAACCAAAAAGGAUCAGGAACAGAUCCUUGAAUCAGCUGUCACUUCUAUAGAAUGGGAUUUUUUUUUCCUUCCUCCUUAACCUGCGCUGGAAAUUGCCGUUGGCUUUAUACAUCUCUAUAGAGAGAGGCUAAAGAGUCUUGCGUGAGAAAGAAGCAAUUUACAAUGCAAAUAGAGGCCUGUGAAGGGACGGAUGCUGCUGCUCACUCGUAACAGCUUGCUGCACCUUAAUAGCUGGUUUUAUUUUCUGAUAUUAAUAGAUGAAUUGUUGGCUAACGCUGCCGGAGAUUACUUGCUGAAAGGAAAAAGAAAAGUUCGGAAUAAACUCUGAAGGCAACAGAUCUCGUUUGGAUGUUUUAGCCGCGCACACACACAAACAGAAACCAGGUCAUAUUUACAUAAAAGGAGGAAUCUUAAGCGCGGCAAGUAUCCUGGACGACCACUCUUCGGUACUGCCAGAAAGGAUCAGGACCUGGAGUCUGGCAAGAGGAAGACAGAGGCCUGUGUGGGAAGCGAGUUGUUAUCUUUGGUUAUCUAGCUGUAUGAGUGUAUUGGUCUUCAUAAAGCUAGAUAACCGAAAGUAAAAACUCCUUCAAGAUCGCCGGGGAGCGUGUGAGAAUGAAAGACUACAGCCGAGAGACAGUAAAAACCAGAAAGGUCAGGAAUACUUAUUGAAUCUAACUUUGUUUUUGUUUUGUUUUUUUCCUUAUGAUUAAAGGUGGGAUGAGAGAAAAUUAAAUGACACACACAUGCUAAAAUAUCAAGGUUCCAGAUAUGUCUUGAGAGGGGUUGUUGCAGCUGCAAAGGAGAAGUGUAUAGUGAUAAUGAGUAAAGAUGCAUGUGCAGUUUGUUCUAUUUUAAGGCAAAAGUUAUAUCAGGGAUUUUUUUCUUAGAAAGGUGUUGCAGAGAUGUCUGGUACCUAGUUUAAAAAUGAUUCCAUAAUAUGUAGACUUGGGCAGUUCCUUUGGGAGGCACCUCCCUCUCAAAAUUUGAAGAUUGUGCUUGGAAAUUACUUUACAUGUAUUUGGGCUGUAUGUCAAUUUGUACGAAAUUAGACUUUCAGAAAAGUUUAUACUGGAAGGUUAAUAAUUUGUAUCUACUGAGGACUUAGAGCUAGCAGGCAAAAUGAAAAAAAAAAAAAAAAAAGCAAGGGCUGAUUUUUAUUCUUCUAUUCAAAAUACAAGGACAGAUGCUUCUCUGUUCCAAGAGGGUUUCCUUGAGGAAGCUACUGAAGCAGAAAGACAUGAUGGAGACGAGAUCGCCUCCCCUCUUGUCAAAGUGUUAAAAAAAUGUUCUGUCUUACUCUGCGCCUAGCAUUGGAAAUGAAAGUGACAUUUACGCCACAACCCACGUGUGCGCCUCCUCUCUUUUUGUUUAAGGAUGAUCAGGUCUAUCCAGGAAACAGCUCUGGCAUCCCAAACUGAAAUAAUUAGGACGUAUAUAGACCUGACAAAAAUGGAAAGGGGGUGGGGAAUCUGAGGGUCUGUCUUGCCUAAUUGAUUCCGCUAAACGGAAUGCAGGAGAUGUGAACGGCAGGACGCUCCGAUUCCCACGCUCGGGGGCAAGUGAUAAAGCGGGGCCGGGCAGCCUAUGACAGACAGCCCUGUUGGGGGGUGGGGGUAUGAAAAAAACAUCAAGUGCACACACCAUACUCAUCUCCAUCGCUUAAGAAAGUAAAGGCAUUUCCCACCCACAGCCAUCUGCAGCUUCCCAAAUGGCAGCACCAACUGGUCUGUAGCUGCUACAUAGUCUGCUUCUGUUAAUUUUUUAACCACUGUUUAAUCUGGCCAUAAUUAAGUUUGGCUUUCUUCGUUGUUUGAGAUUUUCAGAAUUCAAGGCAAGCUAGUAGAAAGCAAUUCCAAGAAAGUCCCAUGACUGCCUGCCCCUAAUGUCAAAAUCUCAGUCCAUGAGAUUAUGGCCUUGUGACCACAUUUUUGCUUUUGUUUUGGGUGGGCAAAUGUGUAUAGAGAUAAAAUACAUAUCUCUAUAUAACAGUCGUUAUUAUAAUUUCAUGAGGCUUUUUACCUCUUAACAUGAUACAUCUAGGAACUUGGUCUAAUUGUGCUAGUAGAUAUACACUAGAAGUAAAACUAUAAAGUCAUUAGCCUGUAGAAAGUUGAUUAUGAUAACAAUAUGAUAAAAAGUUUGUUUUGGAAUAGUCUCAGCUAGAUGGGUCUAAAUAGCCAUUUUAAUGUAAUCUAAAAAUAACACUAUGCCUAGCAGAAACUUUGGCGCUUUGGAGGUCCCCAUUGUCGCCUUUUCAUAAAAGUCCUUAAGUUUUCCAUAUGUCACCAAGCAAACAUUUGUAUAGGCAUUUACACAGAAAUAUAACCAUUGCAAUUAGAAAAUAUCCAAAAUAGCCUGUUAUCUUCCACGUGGCCUAGAUUAUUGACAAUCCCAAAUAUACAAUUUUUCUUUAAAAGUAGUACAAUUUCCUUUGUAGCUUCAAUUCCUUAUAUGACUUCAGACUGGAGAAGCCUGUUAAACCACUGUUAGUUUCAGUUAGAAAGUCUGAGAGACUUUAUACAUAAAUUCUCAAUUUGGCUGCUGUACACGUGCCAGAGUUUUACUACUGUAGUGACCGUUGAGAAGACCCUUGUUUAUUUACAUUUGAAGCACUGUUUGUGCAAACAACCUUUCAUUGUUAAGUGCCUGUAUUCCUUUCAUUUACUUCAUGUCCAGGGGUGCUAUUUACCUAGAACCAUUGUCUACUACAAUUAACAUUUACAUUACAAAGUGUGUGGUUUUCUUUUUCAAGGAGGUUCAAUUAAGGCAAUAAGAUGUUUGCUGGAGAAACCUAUUGUUUACUGAAAGCACUCAAUGAAGUCAAAUUACUGAAGCUUUUGCCUACAUCUUGGUCUUUUAUGUAAAUAUGUUAAAUAUAACAUCUAAGGAAAAUAAACAAUAUUAUAAUUAUGUGUUUGCCAUUGUCAUAUCAAACUUGCUUUGUAUCAUACUAAUGUUACAUAACUUAUCGAUCAAUAAAAAUACAUUUCAAUGUUA